rnacentral:antisense_RNA from 1 species
AGCUGCGCCGGCUGCGGAUGCGGGAAGGCAGGUGGCGACUGACGGAGCUGGGUGAAGCUUCUGCAGAUGGCCUCCCUCUCUGCGACUGGUUCCUUAUCGAGGCAAUGGAAAUGUGGACUGCGGUGACUCUGAUCAAGCCUCACGUAUCUAUUGAAUCAGGAAGCCCGAAGGCCUGAGGCCUCCCGAGUGGCCCCAAGGGAGCGUCGUGCAUUUUUCUGGGCCCGAUGACGAUGCUAGCCUGGCGGGGGACUUGGCUGACCCGGCCUCCGCACAGGUGGACUAGUUCACAGAGCUUGGCCACUGGGGGGCUGCUGGCAGGUGAGACAAACAUCACUGGCUGGUCGGCAAAGAGGGUUCCGCGGUACGGCCCUGCAGACAAGUGGCACUCGCUUCGGCACAGCUGUGGGCAGACAGAGAGAUAAUUACAGAGCAUAAUAAAUACCGAGCCUCAGCAGCUUUCAUGUGACUUGCAGGAGACAGUGGCAGCAGGGGCAAAUGAUUCUUCCUGGAUGGUGACUUU